AUACGGAGGAUGCGAGCGUUAUCCGGAUUUAUUGGGUUUAAAGGGUGCGUAGGCUGUGCGUUAAGUCAGGGGUGAAAUGCCGUCGCUCAACGACGGAGCUGCCCUUGAUACUGGCGUGCUGGAGUACGGAUGCCGUUGGAGGAAUGAGUGGUGUAGCGGUGAAAUGCUUAGAUAUCACUCAGAACACCGAUUGCGAAGGCAUCUGACGAAUCCGUCACUGACGCUGAGGCACGAAAGCGUGGGGAUAGAACAGGAUUAGAUACCCUGGUAUUCCACGCCGUAAACGAUGAUGACUAACCGUCGGCGAUAGACAGCCGGUGGCCAAGCGAAAGCGAUAAGUCAUCCACCUGGGGAGUACGUCGGCAAGGUUGAAACUCAAAUGAAUUGACGGGG
rnacentral:rRNA from 1 species